rnacentral:rRNA from 1 species
UACGGAGGGGGCUAGCGUUGUUCAGAAUUACUGGGCGUAAAGGGUGCGUAGGUGGUUCUUUAAGUCUGCUGUGAAAUCCCCGGGCUCAACCUGGGAAUGGCAGUGGAUACUGGAGAGCUAGAGUGCGGUAGAGGGUAGUGGAAUUCCCGGUGUAGCAGUGAAAUGCGUAGAGAUCGGGAGGAACACCAGUGGCGAAGGCGGCUACCUGGACCAGCACUGACACUGAAGCACGAAAGCGUGGGGAGCAAACAGG